GGGUGCGGCUGACGCGGUCGCGAAGGCACCCGGAUGGACGGAGUCCGACCGCGCCCCCUACCCCCAGCGCUGCCGGCCGCGGUUGUCUGCUGUUCACGAGAGUCCCCGUCUGUCACCCGUGGCCGUUACAGUCGCUAAGGCAGCCCGCGGGGUUGGAUGCUGGCUGCAGCUGCGUCUAGGCCACACCGCGGGCUCUUGCUGUGCGACAGUGGCAGUUUAGUGACUCAGGAGAUCCCGCGUGGAGGGCUUCGUCCCGCUGUGCCUUCCCAGCUCUUGAAGACCCCCAGAGUGGGACAAAGCCCGCAGGUUGGGGGACCAGAGCCCUCUCGUCCACGCCGGGGACAGCGGGCCCGCAGGGCAGGGGCGGAGCGGGGCCGGUGGCAGCUUCCUCCAGGCAGGGACAGAGGCCGGGCUGGGCCGCGUCUCAGCCUUGAGCAUCGCCGAGGCACCACCCGCAGAGGGCGCUUCCCAGGUGGCUACCUGCGUGCUGUUAAGAGCCCGCCUGCGUCUGGGUCCCGACGCCCUUGCUGCACGGCUUUCCACGCUUGGCAGGGGAAGGCUUUGGCUCUGCGUGAACCAAGUUAACAGCGAGCAAGAAGAGCUCUUCUAGAGGCUUCUCUGGCAACGCGGCCACCUCAGACCCGACAGAAGCCUCCUUCUCUGGCAGCGCCAAAAGCUCCUGGAAUUCCUCCACCACAAAUGCUGCCCGUGGUGUAGCCGAGAAUUAAUUAGAAAGGAAAAAAACCUCUCACGUCAAAACACGUAUCUCACAACCUAUUAGCGUGAAGAUUAGCAUUAAAGAAAGUUGGAAACGAUAACAUUUUAAGCACAAUUUAUAAGUCUAAUUUCCUCCGUGUCAUUCUCAGAUAA
rnacentral:lncRNA from 1 species